AUGGCCGCUUCCUCGGCUCCUCUCCUCCUCUUACUAUGCCUCGCCGUCGUCUCCCCGGCGGCAGCGCGCACCGAGGACCUCCUCGCCGCGGCCCGCGCGCCGGAGGCCGCCGCCUGGCUGCGCGGCGUGCGGCGGCGCAUCCACCAGCGCCCGGAGCUGGCCUUCCAGGAGCACCGCACCAGCGAGCUCGUCCGCCGCGAGCUCGACGCCAUCGGCGUCCCCUACGCGUGGCCCGUCGCGCGGACGGGCGUCGUGGCCACCAUCGGCUCCGGCGCCGGCCCGGUCGUCGCGCUCCGGGCCGACAUGGACGCCCUGCCCGUGCAGGAAUUGGUAGAUUGGGAAUACAAGAGCCUGGAAGAUGGGAAAAUGCAUGCAUGUGGACAUGAUGCUCACACAGCAAUGCUUCUAGGAGCUGCCAAGCUACUUCAGUCCCGCAAGGAAGACCUAAAGGGCACCGUGAAGCUUGUUUUCCAGCCAGCAGAGGAGGGCAGCGGCGGCGCCUACUACGUUCUGGAAGAAGGCGUUCUCGACGACGCGUCGGCGAUUUUCGGCCUGCACGUCGAUCCAGCUCUGCCGGUGGGUGUAGUUUCGUCCAGGCCAGGGCCAUUUGCCGCGACCUCGGGUCGAUUCCUGGCGACGGUCACAGGAAAAGGUGGGCACGCCGCUGGCCCCCAUGACGCCAUUGAUCCCGUUGUAGCAGCAUCGUCCGCCGUCCUAAGCAUCCAGCAGAUCGUCUCUCGGGAGAUCGAUCCCCUCCAGGGUGCAGUGGUUUCCAUCACCUUUGUGAAGGGAGGAGAUGCUUACAACGUCAUUCCCGAGUCGGUCGCCUUUGGUGGCACCUUGAGGAGCAUGACAGAUGAAGGGUUGUCAUAUCUGAUGAAGAGGAUCAGAGAGAUCGUUCAAGGGCAAGCUGCAGUGCACCGCUGCUCUGCCUCCGUGGACUUCAUGGAGGAAACGAUGAGGCCGUACCCGGCUGUCGUCAACGCCGAAGGGAUGUACGCGCAUGCCAAGGAGGUAGCCGGGAGGUUGCUCGGGGAAGAGAACGUCAGGGUGGCUCCCCAGCUCAUGGGAGCGGAGGAUUUCGGGUUCUACGCGCAGAGGAUGGCGGGCGCCUUCUUCACCAUAGGAGUUGGCAACGAGAGCACCAUGGAGCAGCUCCGCACCACGCACUCCCCCUACUUCGUGAUCGACGAAGAUGCGCUCCCGGUUGGAGCUGCCUUCCAUGCCGCCGUGGCCAUUGAGUACAUGGAAAAGCACGCAUCGGCGUGA
rnacentral:rRNA from 1 species